rnacentral:rRNA from 1 species
AGCGAACGCUGGCGGCAGGCCUAACACAUGCAAGUCGAACGCACCUUCGGGUGAGUGGCGGACGGGUGAGUAACACGUGGGAACGUACCUUUUGGUUCGGAAUAACGCAGGGAAACUUGUGCUAAUACCGAAUGUGCCCUUCGGGGAAAGGAUUUAUCGCCAUUAGAGCGGCCCGCGUUAGAUUAGCUAGUUGGUGAGGU